AGGACGAACGCUGGCGGCGUGCUUAACACAUGCAAGUCGAGCGGAAAGGCCCUUCGGGGUACUCGAGCGGCGAACGGGUGAGUAACACGUGAGUAAUCUGCCCCUAGCUCUGGGAUAGCUCCGGGAAACCGGGAUUAAUACCAGAUACGACCACUUUAGACAUCUUCUGUGGUGGAAAGAACUUCGGCUAGGGAUGAACUCGCGGCCUAUCAGCUUGUUGGUGAGGUAACGGCUCACCAAGGCGACGACGGGUAGCCGGCCUGAGAGGGCGACCGGCCAACGACUGGGACUGAGACACGGCCCAGACUCCUACGGGAGGCAGCAGUGGGGAAUAUUGCGCAAUGGGCGAAAGCCUGACGCAGCGACGCCGCGUGGGGAUGAAGGCCUUCGGUUGUAAACCCUUUCAGCAGGGACGAAGCGAAAGUGACGGUACCUGCAGAAGAAGCGCCGGCAACUACGUGCCAGCAGCCGC
rnacentral:rRNA from 1 species